rnacentral:misc_RNA from 1 species
GAUGAAGAACGCAGCGAAAUGCGAUAAGUAGUGUGAAUUGCAGAAUUCAGUGAAUCAUCGAAUCUUUGAACGCACAUUGCGGCCAUAGGUAUUCCUUUGGCCAUGCCUGUUCGAGCGUCAUUUACACCCUCAAGCCUAGCUUGGUGUUGGGCGUCUGUCCCGCCGUUUUCGCGCGCGGACUCGCCUCAAAGUCAUUGGCGGCGGUCGUGCCGGCCCCCUCGCGCAGCACAUUUGCGCUUCUCGGAGGCCCGGCGGAUCCGCGCUCCAGCAAGACCUUUCACGACUUGACCUCGGAUCAGGUAGGGAUACCCGCUGAACUUAUGCAUAUCAAUAAGCGGAGGA